UACGAGGGGUGCAAGCGUUGCUCGGAAUUAUUGGGCGUAAAGGGUAGGUAGGUGGUCUCAUUUGUCUGGGGUGAAAGCCUCGAGCUUAACUCGAGAAGUGCCCCAGAAACGGUGAGACUUGAGUCUUGGAGAGGGUUGCGGAAUUCCAGGUGUAGCGGUGAAAUGCGUAGAUAUCUGGAGGAACACCGGUGGCGAAGGCGGCAUCCUGGACCGACACUGACGCUGAGGAGCGAAAGCCAGGGGAGCAAACGGG
rnacentral:rRNA from 1 species